rnacentral:rRNA from 1 species
GACGAACGCUGGCGGCGUGCCUAAUACAUGCAAGUAGAACGCACAGUUUAUACCGUAGCUUGCUACACCAUAGACUGUGAGUUGCGAACGGGUGAGUAACGCGUAGGUAACCUGCCUGGUAGCGGGGGAUAACUAUUGGAAACGAUAGCUAAUACCGCAUAAUAUUAAUUAUUGCAUGAUAAUUAAUUGAAAGGUGCAAUUGCACCACUACCAGAUGGACCUGCGUUGUAUUAGCUAGUAGGUGAGGUAACGGCUCACCUAGGCGACGAUACAUAGCCGACCUGAGAGGGUGAUCGGCCACACUGGGACUGAGACACGGCCCAGACUCCUACGGGAGGCAGCAGUAGGGAAUCUUCGGCAAUGGACGAAAGUCUGACCGAGCAACGCCGCGUGAGUGAAGAAGGUUUUCGGAUCGUAAAGCUCUGUUGUAAGAGAAGAACGGGUGUGAGAGAGGAAAGUUCACACUGUGACGGUAGCUUACCAGAAAGGGACGGCUAACUACGUG